UUGCAAUGAUGAUAAAUAUUUUUAAAUGAAUAUCUGUGUAUGUUCUAUACGCUAUUCUGAGCUUGUA